UACGUAGGCAGCGAGCGUUGUUCGGAAUUACUGGGCGUAAAGAGUGUGUAGGCGGUGCUCCCAGUCUGUUGUGAAAUCUCCCGGCUUAACUGGGAGGGUGCAGCGGAAACUAGAGUGCUAGAGUGCGGUAGAGGGGUGUGGAAUUCCCGGUGUAGCGGUGAAAUGCGCAGAUAUCAGGAGGAACACCCGUAGCGAAGGCGGCACUCUGGGCCGAUACUGACACUGAGGAGCGAAAGCGUGGAGAGCGAACGGG
rnacentral:rRNA from 1 species